GUGCAUCAAGAUUCCGGCGAGAAGUACGUCGGUCAAGGAACUUCCAGUGGCGGGACUUUCGAAUAGUCCAGAAGUCACGAACGACCCUGCACAGCCUUAAGACGUAGGUCUGAGUCUAAUAGUGUUGGCAGGGUGAGAAAACUCGAUGGAAAUAGACGAGAGACACGAAACGGACCGAAAACGUCGCUCAGGUAUGCGGAGGGAGCCGUAAGCGGGUCAGUUGGAAAUAAUCACGGAGCACAAAGCACAAACCCCUCAAAGCAUUCUGCCAAAUGAUCUGCUCGCUUCUCGUCGCGAGUAUUGUCAAGUUCACGUAUACGUAUGAGCGCCAUAGGGGAAAAGACAAAGCCAGAGUUACUCGAGGAUAAAUUUUCACCUAGCUCCUCGCAACGAGCACGUUUCGGAAGUAGGUUCACCUGUGCUCAAUCAUUCGAGUAACUGUCCGACGAGGAUCUAGCAAAUAUAUGCGCGAUCGAGUAGAUCGCUGAAGAGGAUCUUCGCGUCGGAAGCGUGUACGUUAUAACUGUGUCAAAUUUCAAUUUAGCCGUUUUCUUUUUUUUCCCCUUAAACUUUUUCUUCCUUCUCGUCCCAUCAAGGUAACAGACUUUCUCUUGUUCACGAUCAAUCCUAUAAAAUCCAAUCACGACGACAUCGAGCCGAUAUCGAUAUACGUCUAUUCGCGUAAUCUUACAUUUCGCCACUUGCUAUAUAUAAGUUUCAACCAUUCUCGACAAA